AUCACACACUAAAUUGCUAAGGUUAUAAAAUCACGCUUGAAAUGCAACUGAAUGUAGACUACAAAUUUGUUUGUCUUUUGAAGUGUAAUCCAUUGUAACCAAAUCUUUUUCAAUUCAUUUUGCACAGUUCAAUUCAUAAUAAAAGAAAAUAUAUGUUGAAAACUGAGCUCAAUGAGGGUGAACUAACCUUUGACCAUGUAACCUUUGUUGAACAAAAAGAAGUUUGUCAAAUAAAUGAUAUUGCAAACUUCCAGAAUUCUUAAAGAAUGACAAAAUUAUACAUGAGGUCGCUUUAUCAUAAGACUUCCCCAUGCAUGUCUCAUAUGAGCAGAAAUAACUAAAGGGAAGUUAUUUCAAACAUGACGUAGUCUACAGUGCAAAAGUUCUUUACACCACAAUAAAGUUGCAUAAUUUGCAACAAUUUGAACUAUUUAUUCCCAAAGCCUCUACCACUAAGGAAAUUGCAACCAACAUAUAGAAUGAACAACUUGACUACUUUAAUGUUAUUAUGA
rnacentral:lncRNA from 1 species